UACGGGGGGGGCAAGCGUUGUUCGGAAUUAUUGGGCGUAAAGGGUGCGUAGGUGGCGGGGUAAGUCGGAUGUGAAAUCCCGGGGCUCAACCCCGGAACUGCAUUCGAUACUGCCUUGCUCGAGUACUGGAGAGGAGAUUGGAAUUUACGGUGUAGCAGUGAAAUGCGUAGAUAUCGUAAGGAAGACCAGUGGCGAAGGCGAAUCUCUGGACAGUUACUGACACUGAGGCACGAAGGCCAGGGGAGCAAACGGG
rnacentral:rRNA from 1 species